AGAGACCACUACAAGACAGAGUACGAGAAUAAACUUGCUGAGGAACUGGAGAACAUUCGUCUGAAGACCAGCCAGGAGAUCGAUAGCCUGCAGAGGACCUCAAAGGAGAUGUACGAGAGAGAGAACAGGAACCUCCGUGAGACGCGGGACAACGCAGUGCUGGAGAAGGACAGAGCGACGACGGCAGAGAGAGAGACACAGGCCAGAUAUGACCAGCUACUAGAACAGCAAUUUGCCAGCGCUAAUUAGAUGUGGGCUAACGGAAACCCUGGAGCGUGUGGUGGUGAGCCCGU